rnacentral:lncRNA from 1 species
UGCGCGUACCGAGUUAUCUCCCUUUGAUCUCCGCUUCGCCACGAAUAAGCUGACACAAUUGCGUAUCCGGGGUUUUUGUGAUCUGAUAAAGUGAAUAGAGAACCAAAAAAUGGUUUUACUUCAUAUUUUAUACCCCUCAACACGUUACCAAACCUAUUUAAGGAAUUAUUAAGGAUUUUCCGUGGACCUACGCAAAUUUUCAGAAAAAAAGUUUCACUUCACUCGUGAAUUUAUAACAUUUUAACAACACUUUUUAAUAAUAAUUAUAUAAAAUAAGGAAGCUAAUUCAAUCUAGAAUUGACCACUUUGGUUGUUAU